CGUGGACUCACGCGUGAGUUGCUUUUAGAGCGACUUACGCGCGAGGGUAAGGUAAUGGUAAAAUUUCCACAGGACUGCAUUAGACCUGUUGGGAACAAUGUCAGACUGUUUACGUCGGAGGUCGGUCUCUUAUGCCGAUCUCUGAUCCCCCUCACCACCCCCCGUUGGGGAGACAUGACAAAUGAUGUGCAGCAGCUCAUCCGUCAGCGCUUUCAGGAUAAAUUUGACUUGGAUUUGAGUGUUCCGCACAUUUCCUAUGUCGUCGACGACAUGAUCAAGGAACGGUUCAAUGAGUACCACUCCGUGUUACACAAGCGGUGCAUGAGCCACGAGGAGGUCGCACUGUCCGCACUGCCGCACGUGACCGAUGACGACUGGCGGAUACUCUGCUAUUGAUUUUCGUCUGAUUCUUUUGAGUUAAUAUUUACAUAUUUACGAUAUCUUAAGGUAACAAUUAAAUUCGCAAUUAAUAACAAUGUAUUAUGAAUAAUGUGUUCAGAAGAGGAACAAAAUAAAUUCUGACAACAGGGGAAAGUUAGAAGUGAACCACGUAGCUGGUUCAAAGUCAUUUGCAGAAAUUCGUCACAACAUGCGAGAUUCUCUCACUAGCCAGGAGCCUGGACUAGUAGACCUCUACAGAGGGACUCACUGUUGACAGACGACGGGAUCUUGGGUACAUCGUUAAGCCGGCGAGAUUUGGGCGGCGAUGGACACCUUACGCAAUCAGCCCACUCCCGAUGGUACUCAACGGAGUGAGCCAAAGAUCCUAAGUGAGGUGCUUCGCACCCGUUCUGGAUAUGUGCGUGGGCUUGGCCAUGGUGCCAAGCUCAUGGCACCCGCUAGAGCUGCCUCCACCCGAUCCAUCAUCGUUGGCGAGAGCGCCACCCGCCGAGCUGAUAUCGCAGAGAAAGAGGUUCAGUACCUACGGGUCGUCGUCCAUGACAUCAAAGAGCAGCUGGAGAAGAAGAGUGAGUAGCUGGAGAGGCAGAUGGAGGAGCAGGAGAGGAGGAUGGAGGAUCUGACGAGGCAGAGGGAGGAGCAGGAGAGGAGGAGGAUGGAGGAGCAGGCGAGGGGGAGAGAGGAGCAGGAGAGGAGGAUGGAGGAGAUGCGGUGGAGCAUGAGCGACGGAUGAAGGAAAUGUUUCAAGCUCUCACUGCACGCUUACCCAUUGAUGCUCCACCACCUCUGCCUUCAUCUUUGUGAUUUUUUAUAUUUUAUUUAUGAUGUUAAACUUAUAUGUAUUUAUGUGCGAAUGAAUGUCAUGUUAAUGGAUGUAGUUUAUAUUUAGAUGGAUU